rnacentral:lncRNA from 1 species
UGUUCUGGAAAGGUCUAUCUGGCUGACGUAGGGGCAGGCUGGGUACCGGAGUGGCUAGGGAAUGGGGCUGGGACCCCGGGGAGGGGAGGGAGAGGAGCAGGCGGGGCAGCAGGGAGCGUGGGGAGAGAGCCCGGCCCACCUGGGCUGGGGGCAGGAGGGAGGGGGAGGGCUCUUGGGAUCCGGCCAGGGUGGUCUCUGAGGCUGGUUGAGGGUCAGGAACACGACCAGGAAGGAAGGAGGCCCCUAUGUCCAGCGUGGGUCACCCCAAGGACUCGGCAGGAGGGGCCACCAUGCGAAUCCCAUGGGAUCACGCAGCACCUGCAACCCUGAGGCCCUUAAACUAGGACCCUGGAGUCCCCGCCGCUUCCGAGCCUGUCCUCCCAAGGCCCAUGCUCCCAGGUCUCGGUGUCCUUAUGGCGACAGCGUAUUUGUCAAGGAAGGAGGACAGAGCGUGUUUUAUUCAGCAGUUUGUUAGCUGAGCCCCAGCCAGAAGGUGAAUCACAGGGGGCCCUGCUGCUUCCCGCCCCACUUUGCACCCCCAGGGCGCCACCGUCCCCGCCUUUGUCUGAGGGACCUCUGCCUCCCUCAAAGCCGGACCGAAGCCUCUCUGGAGGCCCUGGGUGGCUCUCAGCUUGGCACUGGUUUUAUGUGAUUACAGCAGCCUGUGCCGUGGUCUGGCCGGCCAGGCAUCGAUCGUGUCCCUGCAGCAGGAAGUGGGCCCCUCCGUGGGCGCUGUGGGCUUGCUCGGGCUCGGGGUCCCAGCUCUGGGACUCUCGCUGUGCGUCCUUGGGAAGCCGCUCUGCAGCUCUGAGCUGGUUUUCUCCCCCCCCCGCAAUCUCAUAAUAAUAACCGCACCUCUUGCAGCGCGGAGGCAAAAUGUGCAGCGCGGAGCCCACGUGCACCCGACGCUUGGCAGGCGCCGAGGAAUCAGGGAGGCCACGAGUGACAUCAUCCGCUGCUGUUUACAGCUGAGCAAACACGCCGGGCUCAGCGAGGUGGCACGGUUGCCCAAGGUCACACAGCCCGGAGGAGCAGGGGGCCCACACCGGGGCGAUGCGACCUAGGGGCUAACCGGUGGAGGCUCCGACCGCCUGCCUGCCCCGCCCCGCGCACCCCGCCCACCCCCGUGGGCCUCGGGCGCCCGAAGCCACGUGAAGGCAGCCGAGGCUGCAGGAGCAGCGCAGGGCUCGUCACGGAAGGGGUUAACGCUCCCGCCGCAUUGGGCCGGCCUCCGUGGGAAGCAGCCAAUGGGCGCGUGGGGCGAAGAGGGUCUCGCACUGGAGCCUGGGUUGGCCUUGAACUUGUGGCGAUCCUCCUGCCUCAGCCCCCCCAAGUGCAGGAUGACUGGCAUGUGCCACCUCGCCUGGCUUCAAGCUCAGCUGUUAAAUGGGAAGAACAGAAGCUGCCCCUGGGCUGCGACAUCAGGCCGACCAGGUGCUUUUGGGGAGAGUGCCAUCUGGGGCACCCCAGGGAACAGCGGGUGCCACAAGGCACCUGCCCAGGGCUCCAUUUAGUGUUUUGGAGACGGAUUCCAGGUGUCCCGUUUGGGUGGGGGUGGGGAUGGAGCGCCUCGGGUAUAACACGCACAGGAGGGACCCUCCUGGUGACAGAAGUGGUCUGGACUUUGGCUGGGGUGAGGGUUGCCCUGGCCAGGAUCCCCUACAGGAAGCCACAUCCAGGCAGAAGUAAAGCAGAGGAGUCAGAGAGGUGGGGGUGGGUCAGUGCCACAUCCUGGAGUUGAGGGUGGCACUGCACUGCCAUGCACUGCAUCAUUUCUGACAGCCACAUGUGCAUCUACAGUGGUCUCCGGAAAACUUUCAGGCCAGGUGUGCUGAUGCACACUUGUAAUCCAAGCACUCAGGAGGCUGAGGCAGGAGGAUCAUUGUGAGUUCCAGCUGGAGCUACAUAGCAAGACCCUGUCUACAAAAAUAACAAAAAUAUGUACAAACAUAAGGUAUGACAUAAACUCCACAUAGCUCUUUUUUUUUUUUUUCUGGAACCAGGGCUCGAACUCAGGUCCUUGUGGUUGCAAGGCAGGCGGCGGAACCACUGAACUAAAUCCCUGGCCCCACAUAGCUCUUACACAACCAUAAACCAAGGCAAAUUGAUCAGUCAAAUGCAAAAUCAAGCUGGGGAUGUAGCUCAGUGGUGCCGUGCCUGCCUGGCAAGCACACAGUUCUGAGUUCGAUCCCUAGUACCGAAAAAAAAAGCGAACUCAAUUCAAAUCAGAGUAAUCACAUGUGACAUGUUACUUCUUUUGUUUGAAACCCUGUCACUGCCCACAGUGUAGAUAUGGCCCAGCUGCCAGGGUGCUCUGAGUUGGUGAGAGAGUGGCUGGCCUUACACACACACACACGUGCACACGCAUACACACACACAGAGCAGGUGAUUUUUCCUCAGAAUACAUAAAGAAUUCCUACCAAUUAAUAAGAAAAAGGCAGACUUCUCGAGAAAAAUAGGGGGGAAACUUGAAUUAGUAAGUCUGGUGAUGCACCCCUGUCAUCCCAGCACUCAGGAGGCUGAGGCAGGAGGAUUGUAGUGAGUUUGAGGCCAGCCUGGGCUACAAAGUGAGACCCUGUCUCAAAACCAAACAGUUCUCCACAAGCAGGAUAUCCACAUGGUGCACCCCUGUGACCCCAGCACUCAGGAGGCUGAGGCAGGAGGAUCACAAGUGCAAGUUCAGCCUGGUAACUUAGUGACUUGGUGAGACUCUGUCUCAAAAUAAAAAAAAGGAAUGGGGAUGGGCCUCAGGGUGGGGGCCCACAGAAACCAAACAAGAAACCAGAAGUGAGCGGGGACAGUCACAUUGGCACUAUUCAGGGGAGUCCUACAUGAGAAGGAAUCAAUCCCAGUCCCUCUCCAUGGGACAGGCGAUAAACAAAGGUGGCUGGUCAGCUUUGAGAACAAAUCUCACAGUCAUAAUCCAAAGGAUUUCAUUUACCCGAGGGACAAAAGGAGCCAAGACAGUCGGGGUGUGAGAGAUCAGGGAGGGGUCGCCUGCCACCAGGCAGGAGGGGUGGUGCUCCAGGGCCCAAACGCCUGAGGUCAGGAGUCCCUGGAAACAGCUCUGUCCACAAGGCUCUGGGCCCCACUUCGAGCAGAUGUGGAGUGUGCCCUGGGGGCCCAGGUGUGGGGUGAGGGGAGCAGAAGGGAGGGCCAGGUCCCCGGUGCUCUUUCCCUGCCCAGCACUUGUAAUGUGGGCCUGACCCAGGCUUUUUCUGCCGCAGCCCCUGGGCCCGGCCUCUUCCCACACCAGAGCCUGCUGCCCACACUCAGGGUUCUCAGGGGAGCUGGAGGAAAGGCCUCAUCCACAUCCUGAGGCCAGGGCGGUAGGUGCCCAGCGAGAGUGGCUCUGGGGAACACAGGGUGCCUGGUGCCUUAGGCACCUUCCCUCCCUGGACUCAGUACCUGACGCCACAGUGUAAAGGAGAGAUUUAUAGGGGCCGGGGAUUUAGCUCAGUGGUUUUGCUGCCUGCUGCGCAAGCGCAAGGACCGGAGUUCAGUCCCCCGUACCAAAAAAAAAAAAAAAAAAAAAGAAGAGGUUUAUUUUCGCUUGAGGUUUAUUUUCGCUUAUAGUUUCAGUCUGUGGGUGGCCAGUUCCAAGGCAGAGCAGCAGGGCAGAAGGGCCUGGUGGAGGACACAUGCUCACUUCCUGGCGGCCAGGAAGCAGGGAGAGAAGGGAGGAGCAGGGAGAACAGCCUCUUCCAGGCCACUCCCCCAGUGGCCACCUCCGCGGAGGCCCCACCUCCUUCACAGUAUACUCGGCUAUGACCUCAGGCAUGCAGGAAUCCAUCGAUGAGUCCAGCUCCAUUGAUCCCAUCCGCUUGCACCUUACACACACAGGAGAAUUCUGGGGGACACUUCAGAUCCAAAUGUAACACCCAAUUGGCCCCUGCUGCUGACCCCAGACAACCUCAGGAAAGUUCAGCUCAAGCCACGGUUUGGAGACCUGACUGUAGGUGUUGGACCCCCUACCCCUGCUGUGGGACAUGCGAAGGUGGGUGGGUCACUUCCUGCUCCUAAAAAGUGGCCACAACCCCAGGCAGCUGGCAGGGACCAACAUGUCACUGGCAUCCGGCACAGGCCGACUGGAUGGAUGCUGAGUUCUGGAGGGGAUGCUGUGUGGGCGGCCAGCUCAGUUACAAGCUUUAGAGAAAACAGGACUCAUACUAGAAAUAAGCUCAAAUACCUGGGUGUGGAAGGACAUGCCUAUAAUCCUAGCACUCAGGAGGCUGAGGCAGGAGAGUCGGUGUGAGUUCAAGACCAGCCAGGCUCCACAGCGAGGCCUUGUCUCAGAAAAAGAAAACGCUAAGAAAAAUAAAACUGGCAUUUGUAUGUAUUCGCAUUUUACUAUUCCUUGUAUGUUUUGUCUAUAAACCUGAAAUUUUUCCUUUAACCUAAUGACCUUUAUUUAGUAUUUAUGCUUCAGUUCUGUUAACAAAUUAUCUAUUUCAUUUGUCCAAAAAAGUAAUUUCUAUUUUGAAAGAUAUUUUCACAGAUACCAUUCUAAGAUGACAAUUUUUUCUUUUAUUACUUAUUAGAUGCAGUUCCAUUGUCUUCUGA